rnacentral:rRNA from 1 species
GACGAACGCUGGCGGCGUGCUUAACACAUGCAAGUCGAACGGAAAGGCCCUGCUUGCCGGGUACUCGAGUGGCGAACGGGUGAGUAACACGUGGGUGAUCUGCCCUGCACUUCGGGAUAAGCCUGGGAAACUGGGUCUAAUACCGGAUAGGAGCCAUUUUUAGUGUGAUGGUUGGAAAGUUUUUUCGGUGUAGGAUGAGCUCGCGGCCUAUCAGCUUGUUGGUGGGGUAAUGGCCUACCAAGGCGGCGACGGGUAGCCGGCCUGAGAGGGUGGACGGCCACAUUGGGACUGAGAUACGGCCCAGACGCCUACGGGAGGCAGCAGUGGGGAAGAUUGCACAAUGGGCGCAAGCCUGAUGCAGCGACGCCGCGUGGGGGAUGACGGCCUUCGGGUUGGAAACUCCUUUCGCUAGGGACGAAGCUUUUUGUGACGGUACCUAGAUAAGAAGCACCGGCUAACUACGUG